UACGGAGGAUGCGAGCGUUAUCCGGAUUUAUUAGGUUUAAAGGGUGUGUAGGCGGAUGAUUAAGUCAGUGGUGAAAUCUCACAGCUUAACUGUGAAACUGCCAUUGAUACUGGUUAUCUUGAGUACAGUUGAAGUAGGCGGAAUGUGUAAUGUAGCGGUGAAAUGCUUAGAUAUUACACAGAACACCGAUUGCGAAGGCAGCUUACUAAGCUGUUACUGACGCUGAUGCACGAAAGCGUGGGGAG
rnacentral:rRNA from 1 species